UUUUCACCACCAGAGAAUAUCAGUGUGAUUUUAAUAUGAUUUGACUCUUUGCAGGCUGUCAGGCUGUCUAGUCACAGAGGAAGGCUGUGCUUCUCUGGUCUCAGCUCUGAGGUCAAACCCCUCACACCUGAGAGAGCUGGACCUGAGCUACAAUCACCCAGGAGACUCAGGAGUCAGACUGCUCUCUGCUGGACUGGAGGAUCCACACUGCAGACUGGAGAAACUCAAUGUGGAACAUGGUGGAGAGAACAGAAUGAAACCUGGACUUAGAAAAUAUGUCUGUGAUCUCACACUGGACCCAAACACAGUAAACAGACGCCUCUCUCUGUCUGAGGAGAACAGAAAGGUGACAUGGAGGACAGAGGAGCAGCCGUAUCCUGAUCACCCAGAGAGAUUUGAGGACUGUGAACAGGUGCUGUGUAGAGAGGGUCUGACUGGGCGCUGUUACUGGGAGGUAGAGUGGAGUGGGAGAGGGGCUGAUAUAGGAGUGACAUAUAAAGGAAUCAGCAGGAGAGGAGGGGUUAAUGACUGUUGUCUUGGAUACAAUGACAAGUCCUGGAGUCUGUUCUGCUCUGACAACAGUUACUCUGCCUGGCACAAUAAUAAUCCCACUACCAUAGACGUCCCCUCCUCCAGCUCCCACAGAGUAGGAGUGUAUCUGGACUGGCCAGCCGGCACUCUGUCCUUCUAUAGAGCCUCCUCUGACACACUGACCCACCUGAUCACAUUCACCUCCACAUUCACUGAGCCCCUCUAUCCAGGGUUUAGGGUUUGGGGUGAUGGCGACUCAGUGUCCCUGAAAUAAUAACCUGACACACACACACAGGACACACACACGGACACACACACACACUGGACACACACACACUGGACACACACACACUGGACACACACACACACUGGACACACACACACACUGGACACACACACACACAUGGACACACACACACACACUGGACACACACACACACUGGACACACACACACACUGGACACACACACACACUGGACACACACACACACUGGACACACACACACCUGGACAAACACACACGCACACACACACACUGGACACACACACACACUGGACACACACACACACUGGACACACACACACACACUGGACACACACACACACUGGACACA